CGGCCGCUGAUAUGUCUGAUAUUCUUGGGUUAUCUGAUAAUGAUUGUUGUAACUCAAGUAUUAGACGUAUCGACGGCCGG
rfam:Caenorhabditis briggsae complete genome, chrI